AGAGUUUGAUCCUGGCUCAGAACGAACGCUGGCGGCGUGUCUUAAGCAUGCAAGUCGAGCGGCAAGCGCAGCAAUGCGCCUAGAGCGGCGGACUGGUGAGUAACACGUGGGUGAUCUACCUCGGGGAUGGGGAUAGCCAUUAGAAAUAGUGGGUAAUACCGAAUACGCUUCCACGAUUGCGGUUGUGGAAGGAAAGGCGCUACGGCGCCGACCCGAGAUGAGCCCGCGCCCCAUUAGCUAGUUGGUGAGGUAACGGCCCACCAAGGCGAUGAUGGGUAGGCGGCCUGAGAGGGUGUACGCCCACAUUGGGACUGAGAUACGGCCCAAACUCCUACGGGAGGCAGCAGCUAAGAAUAUUCCGCAAUGGACGAAAGUCUGACGGAGCGACGCCGCGUGGAUGAUGAAGGCCGGAAGGUUGUAAAAUCCUUUUGUCGGGGAAGAAUAAGCAUGGGAGGGAAUGCCCGUGUGAUGACAUGAACCGGCGAAUAAGCCCCGGCUAACUACGUGCCAGCAGCCGCGGUAACACGUAGGGGGCGAGCGUUGUUCGGAAUUACUGGGCGUAAAGGGCAUGUAGGCGGUUCUGUAAGCCUGACGUGAAAGGCUAUGGCUCAACCAUGGCACUGCGUUGGGAACUGCGGGACUUGAAUCAUGGAGAGGGAGCUGGAAUUCCAGGUGUAGGGGUGAAAUCUGUAGAUAUCUGGAAGAACACCAGUGGCGAAGGCGAGCUCCUGGCCAAUGAUUGACGCUGAGGUGCGAAAGUGUGGGGAUCAAACAGGAUUAGAGACCCUGGUAGUCCACACUGUCAACGAUGUGCACUAGGUGCUGGGGCGGACGCUUCAGUGCCGGAGCUAACGCGGUAAGUGCACCGCCUGGGGAGUAUGCUCGCAAGGGUGAAACUCAAAGGAAUUGACGGGGGCCCGCACAAGCGGUGGAGCAUGUGGUUUAAUUCGAUGGUACACGAGGAACCUUACCUGGGUUUGACAUGCACAGGAAUACGGUAGAGAUAUCGUAGCUCCGCAAGGAGCCUGUGAACAGGUGCUGCAUGGCUGUCGUCAGCUCGUGCCGUGAGGUGUUGGGUUAAGUCCCGCAACGAGCGCAACCCCUAUCCU
rnacentral:rRNA from 1 species